AUUUGUUUUGCUUAUUGUAUAAAUCAAAAUAAUUAAUGGUGCUCUGUGUAAAAAUUGCAGAGUCUCGCUACUAUAUAGGUGAUACGCUUUAGCCUUUCUUUCCAUUUACUUUGAGCAAUAACAGCCAUGGCUUCAGUGUUCACAUGGUCAGAUAGUCUUUCCAUAUGAGACUUUAUAUUUUUUGAUUGAUGCUGCAACUAAGUCAAUUCCGAGAUCGCGUUCAAGAUCGUACCAAGGCGCAUUAACGGCGCAUCUUAAAACUUUGUUUUGGAAUCGCUGAAUUUGUACAACAGUACAACUAGGGCUUGAGCAGCCCCAAAGUUGUAUCCCAUAAGUCCAAACUGGUCUGAACACCUGCUUUUAGAUUAUAAUCUUGUGGUAUGUAGAUAAGGCAGAGCUUCUAUCCAAUAACCAAUAUAUGUUUCUGAAUUUUAAUUAUAAUUCUUCUUUUUUAUUUUAGACAUGUAUUGUGAUAUGGUAUUUCCGUAUCAUUUAAGUACAGACGCAUAUAUCUAGUAUUGCUGUAUGUGAAAUCAAUAUGUACUGUUUUAGUUACGUUUAAUUUUAUUUGCCAAUUAGCUGUCCAUUCAAAUAUGUUGUUUAAAUCUUGCAAUUGAUGCAGUUUGUGUUUUGCAAAGGUUAUUGUAAUACAAUUGUCAUCGUAUGGAAGAUCGCAUGUAAAGAGUAGGUAAAGGAUGGGUCCUAGCACAUUACCCUGAGGAACACCAGCUUUUAUUUCCUUUAAAUCAGAGUACAUAUCUCCAUGUUAAAUUCGAAAAAAACGGUCCGAAAGGUAUAAUUUUAAAAUGUUGUAAUAUUUUUUUGGUAAAAGCAUUUUAAUUUUGUUUACAAGCCCGCCACGGCAAACUUCAUCAAAGGCUUUAAAACGCAGACGACCGAGCAAACUUUUUUUCUUUAAAGGCAUUUUCAAAGACUUGAGUUAUUCUACUUGGCCAACAGUGGAGUGAUUUUUGCGAAAGCCAUACUGAUGCACCGGUAUCAGUUUCCUCUCUUCAAUUAUGUUGUUAAGACGCACAGUAAGCAUUUGUUCCAAAAAUUUUCAAAGUAUUGGCAGGAGAGAUAUGGGCCCUUAUGAAGUAAUGUCAUGCACUGGCUUAUCAGGUUUAUUGAACAUAAUAAUCUCUGCAGUUUAGCAGUAAAUAGAUACGUAUUGUAGAUUAAUAGUAGCAUUCAUUAUAGCAGUAAGUUUACUUAUGUAUAACAUUUUGAGGAAGCUCGUUUAGUAUUUAGCUGGUAACCAGAUGAUUUUUUAGACUUCAGUUUUUUUAUUUCGUUAGGUUCCCUUUCUGCUUCAUUGGAUGUGUCAUAUGGUUUAAAGACAUCUUCUGAAAAAAACAUUUGCUUCCACUAUACCGCUUUUGGCCCAUGUCUGGUCUGCUAUUCUGAUGGAAUGAUGCUGAGUUCGGGUCGAGAUGAUAUACUUAUGACCUGCGGAGAAUGACCCGUCAGCAUACUAGGCUACAACUUGCAACAAAAUAGAUCGGAUCCCGCUAAUAGUCAUUUGGAAAUCUAAAGGCAAGGAAUAUGAGAAGACGUCAAUAAGUUUCCCCCGGUACACUCGUAAAAGGACAAGAGUAACGUCAACGUCGAGCUGCUAAUAUCACAGGAAACACGAUGUUGUACCAUUAGACUAGAUUAGUAAGGUUCAUUAUACAUAAUUUUUGAUUGUGCACAUAUUGGCAAUGAAUCUGUUAAAAUUUCGAAGAAAAAUUUGAAGAGUAGGCACAUUUAUUUCCUCGGUAUAUCCACGGAUCCACGGAUGUUGUUGUUAACCUAGCUGUGUAGCUUUUAUCAAAGUUACCAGCAGAAGAAGCGCCAAAGCAUUUUUAUUAAUGAAUAUGACCCAAUACAGGACAUGUCUAUACCGCAGCAGGUGGUGAAGAUUGCAAAAAAAGUUGGACCAGGCGUAGGUGCCUUCAGGAAGUAUUCGCCAAUAAGACUAAAAAGGGGUGAAAGUCAUGGACACUUGUGAAAGUGACAAACCAGUAGACGGAGAUCAAGCUCGAAAGAACUAGAGGACAAAAAAAUUGCGUUUUUUUAUUUUAGUGCCAUUGUAACUAGUUAUCAUAUAAUAAACUAACGAACAAUUUGUUUUGCUUAUUGUAUAAUUCAAAAUAAUUAAUGGUGCUCUGUGUAAAAAUUGCAGUCUCGCUACUAUAUAGGUGACACGCUUUAGCCUUUCUUUCCAUUUACUUUGAGCGAUAACAUCCAUGGCUUCAGUGUUCACAUGGUCAGAUAGU